rnacentral:rRNA from 1 species
GACGAACGCUGGCGGCGUGCUUAACACAUGCAAGUCGAACGGUGAAGGGGCCUGCUUUUGUGGGCCCUGGAUGAGUGGCGAACGGGUGAGUAACACGUGAGUAACCUGCCCCCUUCUUCUGGAUAACCGCAUGAAAGUGUGGCUAAUACGGGAUAUUCUGGGUCUGUCGCAUGAUGGGUCUGGGAAAGAUUGCGCCUUUGGGUGUUUUUGGUGGGGGAUGGGCUCGCGGCCUAUCAGCUUGUUGGUGGGGUGAUGGCCUACCAAGGCGGUGACGGGUAGCCGGGCUGAGAGGGUGGACGGUCACACUGGGACUGAGACACGGCCCAGACUCCUACGGGAGGCAGCAGUGGGGAAUAUUGCACAAUGGGCGCAAGCCUGAUGCAGCGACGCCGCGUGAGGGAUGGAGGCCUUCGGGUUGUAAACCUCUUUCGCCAGUGAAGCAGGCCUGCUCCUUGUGGGUGGGUUGACGGUAGCUGGAUAAGAAGCGCCGGCUAACUACGU